rnacentral:rRNA from 1 species
CACGUAGGGUGCGAGCGUCGUCCGGAAUUAUUGGGCGUAAAGAGCUCGUAGGCGGUGUGUCGCGUCGGCCGUGAAAACCUGCAGCUUAACUGUGGGCUUGCGGUCGAUACGGGCAUCACUGGAGUUCGGCAGGGGAGACUGGAAUUCCUGGUGUAGCGGUGAAAUGCGCAGAUAUCAGGAGGAACACCGGUGGCGAAGGCGGAUCUCUGGCCAUUACUGACGCUGAGGAGCGAAAGCGUGGGGAGCAAACAGG